UACGAAGGGUGCAAGCGUUACUCGGAAUUACUGGGCGUAAAGGGUGCGUAGGUGGUUGUUUAAGUCUGUUGUGAAAGCCCCGGGCUCAACCUGGGAAUGGCAAUGGAUACUGGACAGCUAGAGUGCGGUAGAGGGUAGUGGAAUUCCCGGUGUAGCAGUGAAAUGCGUAGAGAUCGGGAGGAACACCAGUGGCGAAGGCGGCUACCUGGACCAGCACUGACACUGAAGCACGAAAGCGUGGGAGCAACAGG
rnacentral:rRNA from 1 species